rnacentral:rRNA from 1 species
GAUGAACGCUGGCGGCGUGCUUAACACAUGCAAGUCGAACGAAGCACUUUAUUUGAUUUCCUUCGGGACUGAUUAUUUUGUGACUGAGUGGCGGACGGGUGAGUAACGCGUGGGUAACCUGCCUUGUACAGGGGGAUAACAGUUGGAAACGGCUGCUAAUACCGCAUAAGCGCACAGCAUCGCAUGAUGCAGUGUGAAAAACUCCGGUGGUAUAAGAUGGACCCGCGUUGGAUUAGCUAGUUGGUGAGGUAACGGCCCACCAAGGCGACGAUCCAUAGCCGACCUGAGAGGGUGACCGGCCACAUUGGGACUGAGACACGGCCCAAACUCCUACGGGAAGCAGCAGUGGGGAAUAUUGCACAAUGGGCGAAAGCCUGAUGCAGCGACGCCGCGUGAGCGAAGAAGUAUUUCGGUAUGUAAAGCUCUAUCAGCAGGGAAGAUAAUGACGGUACCUGACUAAGAAGCGCCGGCUAAAUACGUG